GACGAACGCUGGCGGCGUGCCUAAUACAUGCAAGUCGAGCGGAUGAAAGAGGAGCUUGCUCCUCCUGAUUCAGCGGCGGACGGGUGAGUAACACGUGGGCAACCUGCCCUGUAGAUUGGGAUAACUCCGGGAAACCGGGGCUAAUACCGAAUAAUCCUUCGGACCUCAUGGUCCGAUGUUGAAAGACGGCAUCUCGCUGUCACUACAGGAUGGGCCCGCGGCGCAUUAGCUAGUUGGGGAGGUAACGGCUCACCAAGGCGACGAUGCGUAGCCGACCUGAGAGGGUGAUCGGCCACACUGGGACUGAGACACGGCCCAGACUCCUACGGGAGGCAGCAGUAGGGAAUCUUCCACAAUGGACGAAAGUCUGAUGGAGCAACGCCGCGUGAGUGAAGAAGGUUCUCGGAUCGUAAAACUCUGUUGUGAGGGAAGAACAAGUACCGGAGUAACUGCCGGUGCCUUGACGGUACCUCAUUAGAAAGCCACGGCUAACUACGUGCCAGCCGCCGCAGUAAAAC
rnacentral:rRNA from 1 species